rnacentral:rRNA from 1 species
AAUAAUGAAUGGUCCAGGGUAGGCAAAAACUAAUAGCUCUUUUAUGAUUAUGUGAUAGGUGGUGCAUGGCCGUUCUUAGUUCGUGGAGUGAUCUGUCUGCUUAAUUGCGUUUCAAAACAACUGAUACACAGAGUCUUGGCACAGUUCAGUUUAAUGGCGUCGAGUAUCUUUGAUUUCGACAGUAGUCCAACUCGGUUCGCCAGGGUCUCUUUUGAACGCAACGGACGUGAUCGCAACCCUUUGUUGAGUGAUGUCAGCACUCUACGUCUAUCCUAGCUCGUUGAUCGCAAGUGAGAGUUGGGUGGGCAAACUCAGGGGACAGCUUCAACUAUUCUUCUUCAAACUAGAGGAAGGUUGCGGCAAUAACAGGUCUGUGAUGCCCUCAGAUGUUCUAGGCUGCACACGUGCUACAUUGAUCAGCACAAUGCGAUACAUUU